rnacentral:rRNA from 1 species
CAAUAGCGUAUAUUAAAGUUGUUGCGGUAAAAAAGCUCGUAGUUGGAUUUCUACCGAAGAUAGCCGGUCGGGUCUUCGACCUUGUAUCUGGUUUUGUCUUUGGUAUCCUCAUAGGGAACGUUUCUGCGCUUUAUUGCGUGGUGCGGUAUCUAUGACUUUUACUUUGAGGAAAUUAGAGUGUUCACGGCAGGCAAACGCCUUGAAUAUAUUAGCAUGGAAUAAUAACAUAGGAUCUUCGUCCUAUUUUGUUGGUUUCUAGGGCUAAGAUAAUGAUUAAUAGGGAUAAUUGGGGGCAUCUGUAUCAACGCGUCAGAGGUGGAAUUCUCGGAUUGCGUUGCGACAAACUACUGCGAAAGCAUUUGCCAAGGAUGUUUUCAUUGA